rnacentral:rRNA from 1 species
GUUGUAUGGUUAAGUGACUAAGCGUACACGGUGGAUGCCUUGGCAGUCAGAGGCGAUGAAGGACGUAUUAACUUGCGAUAAGCCCAGAUUAGGCAGUAAAAGCCACUUGAGUCUGGGAUUUCCGAAUGGGGAAACCCACUUACAUAAGUAAGUAUCCUGUUGUGAAUACAUAGCAACAGGAGGCGAACCGGGGGAACUGAAACAUCUAAGUACCCCGAGGAAAAGAAAUCAACCGAGAUUCCGAAAGUAGCGGCGAGCGAAAUUGGACUAGCCCUUAAGCUUUACACACGUUAGACGAACGGUCUGGAAAGGCCGACGAUACAGGGUGAUAGUCCCGUAGUUGACGAUGUGUGUUCAGUGAAAUCGAGUAGGGCGGGACACGUGAUAUCCUGUCUGAAUAUGGGGGGACCAUCCUCCAAGGCUAAAUACUACUGACUGACCGAUAGUGAACCAGUACCGUGAGGGAAAGGCGAAAAGAACCCCUGUGAGGGGAGUGAAAUAGAACCUGAAACCGUGUACGUACAAGCAGUAGGAGCACCUUCGUGGUGUGACUGCGUACCUUUUGUAUAAUGGGUCAGCGACUUAUAUUCAGUGGCAAGGUUAACCAUCUAGGGGAGCCGUAGGGAAACCGAGUCUUAACUGGGCGUUCAGUCUCUGGAUAUAGACCCGAAACCAGGUGAUCUAGCCAUGGGCAGGUUGAAGGUUGAGUAACAUCAACUGGAGGACCGAACCGACUAAUGUUGAAAAAUUAGCGGAUGACUUGUGGCUAGGGGUGAAAGGCCAAUCAAACCUGGAGAUAGCUGGUUCUCCCCGAAAGCUAUUUAGGUAGCGCCUCGGACGAAUACUACUGGGGGUAGAGCACUGUUAAGGCUAGGGGGUCAUCCCGACUUACCAACCCUUUGCAAACUCCGAAUACCAGUAAGUACUAUCCGGGAGACACACGGCGGGUGCUAACGUCCGUCGUGGAGAGGGAAACAACCCAGACCGCCAGCUAAGGUCCCAAAUUACUACUAAGUGGGAAACGAUGUGGGAAGGCUCAGACAGCCAGGAUGUUGGCUUAGAAGCAGCCAUCAUUUAAAGAAAGCGUAAUAGCUCACUGGUCGAGUCGGCCUGCGCGGAAGAUGUAACGGGGCUAAGUAGUAAACCGAAGCUGCGGCAAUAUACUUUUGUAUAUUGGGUAGGGGAGCGUUCUGUAAGCGGUUGAAGGUGUGUGGUAACGCAUGCUGGACGUAUCAGAAGUGCGAAUGCUGACAUGAGUAACGAUAAAGGGGGUGAAAAACCUCCUCGCCGGAAGACCAAGGGUUCCUGUCCAACGUUAAUCGGGGCAGGGUAAGUCGACCCCUAAGGCGAGGCCGAAAGGCGUAGUCGAUGGGAAACGGGUUAAUAUUCCCGUACUUCUUACAAUUGCGAUGGGGGGACGGAGAAGGCUAGGUGGGCCUGGCGACGGUUGUCCAGGUUCAAGUGCGUAGGCUUGAGAGUUAGGUAAAUCCGGCUCUCUCUAAGGCUGAGACACGACGUCGAGCUACUACGGUAGUGAAGUCAUUGAUGCCAUGCUUCCAGGAAAAGCCUCUAAGCUUCAGAUUGUAAGGAAUCGUACCCCAAACCGACACAGGUGGUCGGGUAGAGAAUACCAAGGCGCUUGAGAGAACUCGGGUGAAGGAACUAGGCAAAAUGGUACCGUAACUUCGGGAGAAGGUACGCUCUCGACGGUGAAGUCCCUUGCGGAUGGAGCUAUUGAGAGUCGCAGAUACCAGGUGGCUGCAACUGUUUAUUAAAAACACAGCACUGUGCAAAAUCGUAAGAUGACGUAUACGGUGUGACGCCUGCCCGGUGCCGGAAGGUUAAUUGAUGGGGUUAGACUUCGGUCGAAGCUCUUGAUCGAAGCCCCGGUAAACGGCGGCCGUAACUAUAACGGUCCUAAGGUAGCGAAAUUCCUUGUCGGGUAAGUUCCGACCUGCACGAAUGGCGUAAUGAUGGCCACGCUGUCUCCACCCGAGACUCAGUGAAAUUGAAAUCGCUGUGAAGAUGCAGUGUACCCGCGGCUAGACGGAAAGACCCCGUGAACCUUUACUACAGCUUGGCACUGAACAUUGACCCUACAUGUGUAGGAUAGGUGGGAGGCUUUGAAACAGGUACGCCAGUAUCUGUGGAGCCGUCCUUGAAAUACCACCCUUGUAGUGUUGAUGUUCUAACGUCGACCCCUUAUCGGGGUUGCGGACAGUGCCUGGUGGGUAGUUUGACUGGGGCGGUCUCCUCCCAAAGCGUAACGGAGGAGCACGAAGGUGGGCUAAUCACGGUUGGACAUCGUGAGGUUAGUGCAAUGGCAUAAGCCCGCUUGACUGCGAGAAUGACAAUUCGAGCAGGUGCGAAAGCAGGUCAUAGUGAUCCGGUGGUUCUGAAUGGAAGGGCCAUCGCUCAACGGAUAAAAGGUACUCCGGGGAUAACAGGCUGAUACCGCCCAAGAGUUCAUAUCGACGGCGGUGUUUGGCACCUCGAUGUCGGCUCAUCACAUCCUGGGGCUGAAGUCGGUCCCAAGGGUAUGGCUGUUCGCCAUUUAAAGUGGUACGCGAGCUGGGUUUAGAACGUCGUGAGACAGUUCGGUCCCUAUCUGCCGUGGGCGUUGGAGAAUUGAAAGGGGCUGCUCCUAGUACGAGAGGACCGGAGUGGACGAACCUCUGGUGUUCGGGUUGUGUCGCCAGACGCAUUGCCCGGUAGCUAAGUUCGGGAUCGAUAACCGCUGAAAGCAUCUAAGCGGGAAGCGAGCCUUGAGAUGAGUUCUCCCUGAUACUUAAAGUAUCCUAAAGGGUUGUCGUAGACUACGACGUUGAUAGGCAGGGUGUGUAAGCGUUGUGAGGCGUUGAGCUAACCUGUACUAAUUGCCCGUGAGGCUUAACCAUACAACACCCAAGGGGUUU